CCGCUGAGGUAGUAAGUAGUAAGUACUACGUACUAGAGCAGCUAUUGCGAACAAAAAACAUGUCGUACUUGAGGCAUGAGCGGGGAGGGAGGCGGGGCGGUGAUUGCUAUAGAUCAGUACCGCAGAAGUGACACAGU